AAUGGGCGAAAGCCUGAUGCAGCAACGCCGCGUGAAGGAUGAAGGGUUUCGGCUCGUAAACUUCUAUCAAUAGGGACGAAAAAAAUGACGGUACCUAAAUAAGAAGCCCCGGCUAACUACGUGCCAGCAGCCGCGGUAAUAAGUAGGGGGCAAGCGUUANCCGGAAUUACUGGGUGUAAAGGGAGAGUAGGCGGCAUGGUAAGCCAGAUGUGAAAGCCUUGGGCUUAACCCGAGGAUUGCAUUUGGAACUAUCAAGCUAGAGUACAGGAGAGGUAAGUGGAAUUCCUAGUGUAGCGGUGAAAUGCGUAGAUAUUAGGAAGAACACCAGUGGCGAAGGCGACUUACUGGACUGAAACUGACGCUGAGGCUCGAAAGCGUGGGGAGCGAA
rnacentral:rRNA from 1 species